GUAUUAGGGACAGAACAGUAAGAGUUUAAGGAAAAUUUGAUUAUGAGAACAAUGCAAAGGAAGAGUAAUGAAUGUCUACACUAAAAUAACAGAAGCUAAACCAAAGAAGGAAUAUGCACCAGAAAUGGUUGGAGUUUGGAGACUACAAUUUUUUUCACGAAAAUAUUAAAAAUGAAUUAAGA